rnacentral:rRNA from 1 species
AAUUAAUUUUGUUUUUUAUUUAUUAUUGUUAUUUAUUAAGUAUUAUUAAGAAUUUUUUUUUAAAAAAAACUGUUUAGGAUUUAUAAAUUAAUUCUAUUGAAAAAUUUUAUAGUACCUUUUGUAUCAGGGUAAAUUAAUUUUUUUAACUAUUUAUUUUUCCCGAAUUGAAUUGUUUAAUUAAUUUUUUAUUUUAUUUGUUGAAAAAAAUAUAUAAAUUUUUUUUUUGUAAAGAUAUUCUAGUCGAUUUUCAUUAUAUCUGGUUAUUUAAAAUUAAAUUUAAUUUUUUAUUAAUUUUUUAAUGAUAUUUAAUAAGGGAUAAUCUUUAUUUUUAUAUAUAAUUUUUAUUUAAAAAAUUUUUAUUAUUUUUUGAAUUUUUAUUUUAGUUAUUAAUAUAUUUUAUUUUUUUUAUAAUAAUUUAGUUUAAUUUAUUUUUAUAUUAAAUUUAUUUAUUUAUCUUUUUUAUAUUUUUAAUUUUGAUUUUAUAAGUAAAAUUUUAUAAUUAAAUUUAAUGAACUCGACAAUAAUAAUUUUCAACUGUUUAUCAAAAACAUUUUUUUUAGUUUAUAUUGAAAAUAAAAUCUGCCCUAUGAAAUAUAUUAAAUGGCUGCAGUAUUUUAACUGUACAAAGGUAGCAUAAUAAUUAGUCUUUUAAUUUAGGACUGGAAUGAAGGAUUUAAUGAGAAAUUAAUUUUAUUAGUUUAAUUUUUUUAAUUUUAUUUUUAGGUAAAAAAGCUUAAUUAAUUUUUUGGGACGAAAAGACCCUAUAGAACUUUAUUUAAUUUAAUAAAAUUAUUUUAAUUAAUAUUUCUUUUUUUAAAUUAAUUUUUAUUGGGGUGAUUGAUAAAUUAAACUUUAUUUUAUUUUUACAUUAAUAUAUGUUUAUCAAGAUUUAGUUUAUAAUUAUAAGAUUAAGUUACCUUAGGGAUAACAGCGUAAUUUUUAUGGGGAGUUCAUAUCUAUAUAUAAGUUUGCGACCUCGAUGUUGAAUUAAGAAAAUAUUAUAGGGAAACAUUUAUUUUUAUAAGUCUGUUCGACUUUUAAAUUCUUACAUGAUUUGAGUUCAAACCGGUGUAAGCCAGGUUGGUUUCUAUCUAAAAAUUUAUUUUUUAAUUUAGUACGAAAGGACCAAUUAAUUUAUUAUAAAUUUAUUUUUU